GACGAGGUCACACCCGUUCCCAUGCCGAACACGGAAGUUAAGCUCUUCAGCGCCGAUGGUAGUCGGGGGUUUCCCCCUGUGAGAGUAGGACGCCGCCAAGC
rnacentral:rRNA from 1 species